GCUAAGUCUUCACCACAGCCUCACCAGUCAAGUCUCAGUGCCAGUACUGAAGGGGGGUGAAAAUAUUGGCCCUGAGCAGUGAAGCACCCACUGAUAAGGGAAAAAAAGUACUUCGAUUAAGAGAGAGACAAAAAGAAGAGCCACAGAUUGGAUGAAGAAGUCUUAAAUCAGAGGCAGAGCCAAGAUGACAACUUGGAGACAACACCUGGUGUUCCGGAUGCCAGCAAGAUGCCGACCAGAUUUCCCUGGACUGACGACCCCACCAAUGUGUCCUGGAGCUCUGCUUCCCCAGAAACCCACCCUACUAGGGAAAGAGAGAGGCAUACUGGGAGUAUGGAUGGACCAGUCAAUGCCCAUGUUCAGCAGGGAAGCAAUUACAGAAGCCAGACCUUCCACCUUCUGCAACCCACAAGGACCCUGGAUCCAUACUCCCAGAGGGAUAAAAAAUGGGAAAGCUAUCAGGGGAGGGGAUGGGAUAUGGAGAUUGGGUGGUAGAAAUUGUGUGGAACUGUACCCCUCUUAUCCUACUGUUUUGUUAAUGUCUCCUUUCUUAAAUAAAAAAUAAAUAAAUAAAGUUGAAGGGUAUUGAAUAAACUUAUAGCAAAAAAAAAAAAAGAAGCAAAACCAAACAAAAACAACAGCAACACAAACCAGUAACACCACUAAGAAAAACCAAAUAAAAAACCAAACCAAAACAAAAAUCCAGAUUCCCAAAACAAAACAGCAAAAACAAAACAAGAGAAGAAGAAGAAGAAGAAGUAGAAGAAGAAGGAGAAGAAGAAAAUAAACAAGCAACAACAACAAAAACAACCAACCACUGCAAACAGGAGUAUACACACAGAGCCAGAGAAAGAAUUAGCAAGCUAACAGAAUAUGUAUAUGCUCACAGUUGGGGAGGAUGUUUGAUUGAUGAGGCUUCCCAGAGUUUCUAUUUUUGCAGUUUUCUGCUGCAGUAGUGAAUGACAGAUUGAGUUGAAGGGAUAUCUGCCUGGUUGCCUCAGUGGGCAGACUGGUCAGCCUGUCAGGUUGCUCAGUGCUAUCUGCGUUCAGUUCAAGUCAAGGAAGGUCACAGGCAUACUC